rnacentral:misc_RNA from 1 species
UCAUUCUAGUAUUCUCCACAUUCAUACUGAUGUUAAUGAAUCUAGAUAGAUAUUUCCCACAUUCAUAUUGAUGUUAAUGAAUCUAGAUAGACAUCAAUAUGAAUGUGGGAAAUACUAGAAUGACUUACAUUGUGAAACUA